rnacentral:rRNA from 1 species
AAUGAACGCUGGCGGCGCGCCUAAUACAUGCAAGUCGAGCGAGAAGACGUAGCAAUACGUUUGUAAAGCGGCGAACGGGUGAGGAAUACAUGGGUAACCUACCCUAGAGUGGGGAAUAACUAGCCGAAAGGUUAGCUAAUACCGCGUACGCUCCUUGGACUUCGGUUCAGGGAGGAAAGCGAUGCCGAGGGUAUCGCGCUCUUGGAUGGGCUCAUGUCCUAUCAGCUUGNGGUGAGGUAACGGCUCACCAAGGCUUCGACGGGUAGCUGGUCUGAGAGGACGAUCAGCCACACUGGCACUGCGACACGGGCCAGACUCCUACGGGAAGCAGCAGUAAGGAAUAUUGCGCAAUGGGCGAAAGCCUGACGCAGCGACGCCGCGUGGGGGAU